UGCUAAUCUAAAUUCUUUUAUGGUAACAUUUGGAGCUUUUAAUGCGGCAAAUAUAAGUGAGAGAUGCUGCAAAUUAAACCUGUAGGUAGCCUGACUUUAAGAGGAAUAAUUCCCUCCUGCAAUAACAUUUCCAGUGCCAAUUCUACGUUUUUACGGGACGGAUGGUCUGAAAUAACGCUGACUGAACACAUCCAGUGCAGACGAACUGACUGUGUGCAUGCCAAACCAAGAAAGCAGACUCCUGGUAUUGAGUUCAACUAUAUCUACGAAUCAUGUAGUGCGCAUGAUGAAGCUGCUAGUUAGAUUUAGAUCCAUGGAUCUCAGGCAGAUCUGUGAUCUUUUAUUUCACGUAUAGAACGGAAAUAUAAAAUAACUGGAAUUUGUUUCUGAUUUAAACAAAAAUAUUUACUCUUCUCAUUAGCAAAACAUUCUUUGAAAUAUAUCAAUUUCUCCUCUCUGAAGAGCCAAGGAGCACUAGGCAAUUUUCUGAAGGUUUAGUGCCACCUGUUCACUACAAUAAAUACGGUUGUAGAGGGCACACAGCAACUACAGCUUAUUUACAUUCACUGAUGAGAAUAAAUUUCUUAUCCGGUUACAGUGUCCUGUCCAACAAAGGAAAGGUUUGGCAUUCGUGUGCUUUUUGUUCUUGAUGAGAGUCACUUCUGCUUGAUUUUCAUUCUUGGAAGAAAAAAAUCAUCAGCUGAUGUCCUCAGAUUUAAUGACAUGAUGUGAAAGAGGAACGGAGCAAGGAUGAACUGUUACCAUGGAGUUAGUCCCGGCUUGAAUCUCUUCUCCCCAGGUGGGUGUCCUGUGGGUGGCACAGGGGCAGCCCCCAGGGCACUGGCAGGAAGGCCCCCAGGACACAGGCAUGCAGAGCCUCAUCCGGGGACGGGCCACUCUUGCUCAGCGAAGCACCCCCUGCUCUGCUUCAGCCACCACCCCUACUCGCUACCCUAUAUAUUGAUCUUAUGUGCUUGAGGCCACAGAACUGAUAGAAACCGGCUAACUGGGAAAAAAGGAAAAGGAGAGAAUUCGACCAAGAGGUGGCCCGGGUCCCACACCAUUGUCUUACGCUGCCUUCUGAACUGUCGUCAUCUGUGGAGAUAAUCUGUGGAGGAUGUGUACAUUAUGUUCUUCAUAGCAGAAUUC
rnacentral:lncRNA from 1 species